GCACGCCAUCGCUCUUGUCUCAGGCAGCGUCUAUGGAGCAGUCGCCUUCGCUUACAGAGAAGUCAUCACCCUGACACAGUGGUGUCAAGAAAACAACCUCUCCCUCGAUGUUGCAAAAACAAAGGAGCUGGUCGUGGACUACAGAAGGAACGGAGACAGUCUAGCCCCUAUUGACGUCAAUGGAUCUGGGGCUGAAAGGGACUAAGGCUGUGAGAUUGCUCCCACCGUUAAAUGCUUCUUCUCUGCAAGCUUCUUGGUGAUUAGCCCUGCUAUAUGAAGAACUGAGAUCAAGGAUUUGGGCCGACUCUGGUUGCUCCGAGGAUUCGGGGUCUAUACACUUUGGCCGGGAAUGGUGUUGCUUGCUUCUAUUGUUUGUAUGAUGUAUUUUUUCUCCUCUUGCUCCGCAGAUUUGGGUGUUGAUCUUAAUUUUUUUUAAAUUGGGAUCUUUUGGGCAUCUAGCUUUGUGGCUGCCUGUAAGCAGACAAAUCUCAAGGUUGUAUAAUUUAUAAAUACUUUGAUAAUAAAUGUAUUCUGAAUCUUUGA